rnacentral:rRNA from 1 species
AUUGAACGCUGGCGGCAGGCCUAACACAUGCAAGUCGAGCGGAGCGGCGGACGGGUGAGUAAUGCCUCGGAAUCUGCCUGGUAGCGGGGGAUAACGUCCGGAAACGGGCGCUAAUACCGCAUACUAUUAGAUGAGCCUAGGUCGGAUUAGCUAGUUGGUGGGGUAAAGGCCUACCAAGGCGACGAUCCGUAACUGGUCUGAGAGGAGGACCAGCCACACUGGAACGGAGACACGGUCCAGACUCCUACGGGAGGCAGCAGUGGGGAAUAUUGCACAAUGGGCGCAAGCCUGAUGCAGCCAUGCCGCGUGUAUGAAGAAGGCCUUCGGGUUGUAAAGUACUUUCAGCGGGGAGGCGUUACCCGCAGAAGAAGCACCGGCUAACUCCGUGCCAGCAGCCGCGGUAAUUC